CUUCGAAUGAGGUGUGGGUAGGGGUGAAAGGCUAAUCAAACUUGGAGAUAGCUCGUACUCCCCGAAAUGCAUUUAGGUGCAGCCUCAAUUGAUUUUUUGUAUCAGGUAGAGCGACUGAUUGGAUGCGAGGGCUUCGCCGCCUAUCAAGUCCAGAUAAACUCCGAAUGGGUACAAAAUUAGAUUGGGAGUGAGGGCAUGGGUGCUAAGGUCCAUGUCCGAGAGGAGAAGAAUCCAGACCAUCUGCUAAGGUCCCUAAAUAACAGUUAAGUUGAACUAACGAAGUAUGGUCGCAGAGACAGCUAGGAUGUUGGCUUGGAAGCAGCCAUUCAUUUAAAGAGUGCGUAACAGCUCACUAGUCGAGUGACCGUGCGUGGAUAAUACUCGGGCAUAAACUGUUUACCGAAGCAAUGGACGUAUGUGAAUACGUGGUAGGGGAGCAUUCUACUCUGCGUUGAAGGCAAGGGAUAACCCUUUCUGGAGCGUGUAGAAAAGCAAAUGUAGGUAUAAGUAACGAUAAAGGGGGUGAGAAACCCCCUCGCCGAAAGACUAAGGAUUCCUGAUCAACGCUAAUCGGAUCAGGGUUAGUCGGGUCCUAAGGAUAAGCCGAAUGGCGAUUCCGAUGGCUGAACUGGUUAAUAUUCCAGUACUACUUUAUAGAGUGAUGUGGGGACGGAGAAGUGACACCACUGCCAUCUGACGGAAUAGAUGGUUAAAGGCUGUAGACGUUGAUUGGAGUAGGCAAAUCCGCUCUGAGAGUCGAAGCUGAUAGUACCAUGAGUGCCUGGCACGAGUGGAUAUGUGGGUAAUCAGGCUCCCUAGAAAAUCCGCUAAACUUAUCUAUAGAGUACCCGUACCGUAAACGGACACACGUAGUUGGGUUGAGUAUACUAAGGCGCUCGAGUGAUUCACGGUUAAGGAACUAGGCAAAAUGGUCCUGUAACUUCGGGAGAAAGGACGCCAGGGUAAAACCUGGCCGCAGAGAAUAGGCCCAGGCGACUGUUUAUCAAAAACACAUGGCUAUGCAAAAAAGUAAUUUGAAGUAUAUAGCCUGACACCUGCCCGGUGCUGGAAGGUUAAGAGGAGAUGUCAUGAGCAAUCAGAAGCAUUGAAUUGAAGCCCCAGUAAACGGCGGCCGUAACUAUAACGGUCCUAAGGUAGCGAAAUUCCUUGUCGGGUAAGUUCCGACCUGCACGAAUGGUGUAACGAUCUGGGCACUGUCUCAACCGUGAGCUCGGUGAAAUUGUAGUAUCGGUGAAGAUGCCGAUUACCCGCGAUGGGACGAAAAGACCCCGUGAACCUUUACUAUAGCUUUACAUUGAUUUUGGGCAAUGAAUGUGUAGGAUAGGCCGGAGACUGUGAAUCAGGUACGCCAGUAUUUGUGGAGUCAUCGUUGAAAUACGGCCCUUUCAUUGUCUGAGCUCUAACUCUUUAGUAAAGAGGACAGUGUAUGGUGGGUAGUUUGACUGGGGUGGUCGCCUCCAAAAGCGUAACGGAGGCUUCUAAAGGUACCCUCAGACCGAUUGGUAACCGGUCGUAGAGUGUAAUGGCAUAAGGGUGCUUGACUGGGAGAGAAACAGCUCGAUCAGGAAGGAAACUUGAGCAUAGUGAUCCGGUGGUUCCGUAUGGAAGGGCCAUCGCUCAAAGGAUAAAAGGUACUCCGGGGAUAACAGGCUGAUCGCUCCCAAGAGCUCAUAUCGACGGAGCGGUUUGGCACCUCGAUGUCGGCUCGUCACAUCCUGGGGCUGGAGAAGGUCCCAAGGGUUGGGCUGUUCGCCCAUUAAAGUGGCACGCGAGCUGGGUUCAGAACGUCGUGAGACAGUUCGGUCUCUAUCUAUCGUGGGCGUUGGAGAUUUGCGAGGCUCUGACACUAGUACGAGAGGACCGUGUUGGACAGACCACUGGUUUACCGGUUGUACCGCCAGGUGCAUUGCCGGGUAUCUACGUCUGGAUUGGAUAAGUGCUGAAAGCAUCUAAGUACGAAGCCAGCCUCAAGAUAAGAUCUCCUUAUAAGGGUCGUUGUAGACUACGACGUUGAUAGGCUA
rnacentral:rRNA from 1 species